rnacentral:snRNA from 1 species
AGAUUUUAUAUGCCAAAACCUAU